AUUUUGCUUUUCAUUAUAAUAAACCAAAACUCCCUUCUUCUGUUCAUCCUUUUUUAAAAAUCAGACAAGUUUCCACAUUAUUUUCUUUGAUUUCCAUAAGGUAACAAUGUAUUUUCUCCACUAAUUUAGAAUUUCAAAAUGUAUAGAAAUAAUUUGCUCAGUUCAUAUUUCAAAAUAAUUUAAAUCUUAUUUUAUAAAUAUAUAAUUUCAAAUAUUAAAACAACCGAGUCCUAAAUUUUGUCAGAAUUGAGUACCUUAUAAACUAAUUCAAUAGAUUUAAAAAAUUCAGUUUAAUCAGAUAUGAUCAGAAGUAACUUAAAUCAAGUGGUAAUAAUACCAGACCUGACAGAGAUCUCUAUCUACUGGUAAUACUAUGCAGUCAAAAGAUCGGGCAGUGGCUUAAAACAGAUGAAUUAUGUGAAUUAUAACUCCAGUACACUACUAAAAUAUGAUAAGGAGUAACUUGUAACAUUGUUUAAAAAAAUCAAGUCAGUCUCACACAAUGCCAGUAACUUUUCUCAGUUUCAUGAAUAAUUCAUGCUCUAAUUUGAUUGGCUCCUUCAUACAUUCGUAACCAAAAUUUCAUCAAUUGUGUAAAUGCUUAGACUUGCUCAUAAACUGAAGCAUGCUUUUCAAAAAUAAAUUAAAUGAUCAACUUUCUUUAUACCUCUGAUCCAUAAUCUAAAAAAAAUCCUUUUUUUAUUGUAGAUAAAAAUGAAUGAAAAUAAAACAAAGAAAAUUUCAAAUUUGGUGAAUUGGCCAACAGUCACCACGGUGAACCUGUUGAAGAGCGAAUUUGCACUUUUUGUUGUAAAAAUAGUAUAGAAAACAAAAUUCACUUUUUAUUACAUUGUCCUUUAUAAAACGACUAUAGAAGAAUCCUUUUCGAAAAUACUGGGUUUAAUCAAUUACUAGAUUUGUCAGAUACAGAUGCACUAAUUGUUCUUAUUUCAAAUUAUCCUCGGCAGGUUGCCAAAUACUUAUAUCAUUCUUUUACACGUAGACAAUCUUUAUUGUUCAGAAAAUAAACAUAUACUGUCUUAUAUAAAAUAUGCAAACUCAAGGUUCUGAAGAAAUUUUUAUACUCAUACAUGUAUAUUUUCAAUCAUAUCUUUGUUUACUGCUUGAUGCUGAGUUAUUUUCUUUUCUUUUUUCAUGUAUUAUGUGUUCAAAGUGGCAUAUAGGCCCGACGGGCCGGGUGUUUAAUCUAUGCUGACUGUUGUUUAUAUUACACUUAGAAAUGUAUACACAUGUCACUAUAACUAAAUAAAUUAUUUACUUACUU
rnacentral:sRNA from 1 species